rnacentral:rRNA from 1 species
ACCAGACUCCUACGGGAGGCAGCAGUGGGGGAUAUUGCACAAUGGGGGGAACCCUGAUGCAGCGACGCCGCGUGGGUGAAGAAGCGCCUCGGCGCGUAAAGCCCUGUCAGCAGGGAAGAAAAUGACGGUACCUGAAGAAGAAGCCCCGGCUAACUACGUGCCAGCAGCCGCGGUAAUACGUAGGGGGCAAGCGUUAUCCGGAUUUACUGGGUGUAAAGGGGGCGCAGACGGCGAUGCAAGCCAGGAGUGAAAGCCCGGGGCCCAACCCCGGGACUGCUCUUGGAACUGCGUGGCUGGAGUGCAGGAGGGGCAGGCGGAAUUCCUGGUGUAGCGGUGAAAUGCGUAGAUAUCAGGAGGAACACCGGUGGCGAAGGCGGCCUGCUGGACUGCAACUGACGUUGAGGCCCGAAAGCGUGGGGAGCAAACAGGAUUAGAUACCCGAGUAAAC